rnacentral:rRNA from 1 species
GACGAACGCUGGCGGCGUGCUUAACACAUGCCAGUCGAACGGAAAGGCCCUGCUUUUGUGGGGUGCUCGAGUGGCGAACGGGUGAGUAACACGUGAGUAACCUGCCCUUGACUUUGGGAUAACUUCAGGAAACUGGGGCUAAUACCGGAUAGGAGCUCCUGCUGCAUGGUGGGGGUUGGAAAGUUUCGGCGGUUGGGGAUGGACACGCGGCUUAUCAGCUUGUUGGUGGGGUAGUGGCUUACCAAGGCUUUGACGGGUAGCCGGCCUGAGAGGGUGACCGGCCACAUUGGUACUGAGAUACGGCCCAGACUCGUACGGGAGGCAGCAGUGGGGAACAUUGCACAAUGGGCGGACGCCUGAUGCAGCAACGCCGCGUGCGGGAUGACGGCCUUCGGGUUGUAAACCGCUUUCGCCUGUGACGAAGCGUGAGUGACGGUAAUGGGUAAAGAAGCACCGGCUAACUACGUG